UUUUGCUUUUCUUCCCCUUUAGGUCAUCAUAUAGAACUAGGCUGUCCUCCACCUCAUGAUGCUCCUGCCUCAGUUUCUUGAGUCAUUGUCUGUGUAUGUCCCCAUGCCUAGCUCAAAUUUUGAUGAUACCGAGAUCAUCUUCAGUCAUCCAAGAACCAUUUACUGAACAAGUGUCCGGAGACAGUGACUGCAGCAGUUGCUGGGGAAACACGGAUGAUGAAGAUGUCCUUGAAACUCAAGAGGCAGUGGUUUCGAUAUGGUGUCUGGAAUAGAACCCACACUAUCUCCGGCUUCAGAGAAAAACUCAGGACAGACAGCAAAAAGCAGAUACAGAUGAGCUGAAUCUCAGCUUCUAAGCUGUCUCUGAUGUCGCAAGUCGUCGCAUACUUGGGAUGCUCGAGGCAAUGACAGAGGACAGUUAUGCAGGACCACCCCACCCCCACCCCCCAGCUAUAGAGACACUGAGAAGCUUCAUCCUUUUACCAAAGUGGCUUUCCCUCACCAAGACUUAUCACAGCAAUUAAACACUAGUGAUACUUCGGCUGCUACCUAA